AACGACAGAAGUGAUCUCUUCGGAGUGAACGACUGGGCGACGAGUGGCGGACGGGUGAGUAACGCGUAGGAAUCUGCCCGUGUAGUGGGGGAUAGCCCGAGGAAACUCGGGCUAAUACCGCAUAAGUCCUACGGGGGAAAGUGGGGGCCUUUCGAGCCUCACGCUAUAGGAUGAGCCUAUGUCUGAUUAGCUUGUUGGUAGGGUAAUGGCCUACCAAGGCGAUGAUCAGUAGCUGGUCUGAGAGGACGAACAGCCACACUGGGACUGAGACACGGCCCAGACUCCUACGGGAGGCAGCAGUGGGGAAUAUUGGACAAUGGGCGCAAGCCUGAUCCAGCAAUGCCGCGUGUGUGAAGAAGGCCUGCGGGUCGUAAAGCACUUUCAGCAGGAAAGAAAAGCGAAGGGUUAAUACCCCUUCGCCUUGACGUUACCUGCAGAAGAAGCACCGGCUAACUUCGUGCCAGCAGCCGCGGUAAUACGAAGGGUGCAAGCGUUAAUCGGAAUCACUGGGCGUAAAGCGCGCGUAGGUGGUUUGCUAAGUCGGAUGUGAAAGCCCUGGGCUCAACCUGGGAAUGGCACUCGAUACUGGCGGACUAGAGUAUGGUAGAGGGAAUCGGAAUUCUCGGUGUAGCGGUGGAAUGCGUAGAUAUCGGGAGGAACACCAGUGGCGAAAGCGGAUUCCUGGACCAAUACUGACACUGAGGUGCGAGAGCGUGGGGAGCAAACAGGAUUAGAUACCCUGGUAGUCCACGCCGUAAACGAUGAAAACUAGCCGUUGGGAAAUUAUUUUCUCAGUGGCGCAGCUAACGCGAUAAGUUUUCCGCCUGGGGAGUACGGCCGCAAGGCUAAAACUCAAAGGAAUUGACGGGGGCCUGCACAAGCGG
rnacentral:rRNA from 1 species